AGAGUUUGAUCCUGGCUCAGGACGAAUUCUGGCGGCGCGCCUAACACAUGCAAGUCGAACGAGCGAGAGAGAGCUUGCUUUCUCGAGCGAGUGGCGAACGGGUGAGUAACGCGUGAGGAACCUGCCUCAAAGAGGGGGACAACAGUUGGAAACGACUGCUAAUACCGCAUAAGCCCACGGGUCGGCAUCGACCAGAGGGAAAAGGAGCAAUCCGCUUUGAGAUGGCCUCGCGUCCGAUUAGCUAGUUGGUGAGGUAACGGCCCACCAAGGCAACGAUCGGUAGCCGGACUGAGAGGUUGAACGGCCACAUUGGGACUGAGACACGGCCCAGACUCCUACGGGAGGCAGCAGUGGGGAAUAUUGCACAAUGGGGGAAACCCUGAUGUAGCGAUGCCGCGUGGAGGAAGAAGGUCUUCGGAUUGUAAACUCCUGUUGUUGAGGAAGAUAAUGACGGUACUCAACAAGGAAGUGACGGCUAACUACGUGCCAGCAGCCGCGGUAAAACGUAGGUCACAAGCGUUGUCCGGAAUUACUGGGUGUAAAGGGAGCGCAGGCGGGAAGACAAGUUGGAAGUGAAAUCCAUGGGCUCAACCCAUGAACUGCUUUCAAAACUGUUUUUCUUGAGUAGUGCAGAGGUAGGCGGAAUUCCCGGUGUAGCGGUGGAAUGCGUAGAUAUCGGGAGGAACACCAGUGGCGAAGGCGGCCUACUGGGCACCAACUGACGCUGAGGCUCGAAAGUGUGGGUAGCAAACAGGAUUAGAUACCCUGGUAGUCCACACUGUAAACGAUGAUUACUAGGUGUUGGAGGAUUGACCCCUUCAGUGCCGCAGUUAACACAAUAAGUAAUCCACCUGGGGAGUACGACCGCAAGGUUGAAACUCAAAGGAAUUGACGGGGGCCCGCACAAGCAGUGGAGUAUGUGGUUUAAUUCGACGCAACGCGAAGAACCUUACCAAGUCUUGACAUCCUGCGACGGUGCUGGAAACAGUACUUUCCUUCGGGACGCAGAGACAGGUGGUGCAUGGUUGUCGUCAGCUCGUGUCGUGAGAUGUUGGGUUAAGUCCCGCAACGAGCGCAACCCUUAUGGUCAGUUACUACGCAAGAGGACUCUGGCCAGACUGCCGUUGACAAAACGGAGGAAGGUGGGGAUGACGUCAAAUCAUCAUGCCCUUUAUGACUUGGGCUACACACGUACUACAAUGGCGUUAAACAAAGAGAAGCAAGACCGCGAGGUGGAGCAAAACUCAGAAACAACGUCCCAGUUCGGACUGCAGGCUGCAACUCGCCUGCACGAAGUCGGAAUUGCUAGUAAUCGCAGAUCAGCAUGCUGCGGUGAAUACGUUCCUCGGGCGCUUGUACACACACGCCCGUCA
rnacentral:rRNA from 1 species